rnacentral:rRNA from 1 species
GACGAACGCUGGCGGCGUGCUUAACACAUGCAAGUCGAACGGAAAGGCCCUGCUUUUGUGGGGUGCUCGAGUGGCGAACGGGUGAGUAACACGUGAGUAACCUGCCCUUGACUUUGGGAUAACUUCAGGAAACUGGGGCUAAUACCGGAUAGGAGCUCCUGCUGCAUGGUGGGGGUUGGAAAGUUUCGGCGGUUGGGGCUGGACUCGCGGCUUACCAGCUUGUUGGUGGGGUAGUGGCUUACCAAGGCUUUGACGGGUAGCCGGCCUGAGAGGGUGACCGGCCACAUUGGGACUGAGAUACGGACCAGACUCCUACGGGAGGCAGCAGUGGGGAAUAUUGCACAAUGGGCGGAAGCCUGAUGCAGCAACGCCGCGUGCGGGAUGACGGCCUUCGGGUUGUAAACCGCUUUCGCCUGUGACGAAGCGUGAGUGACGGUAAUGGGUAAAGAAGCACCGGCUAACUACGUG